rnacentral:tRNA from 1 species
UCCCCGGUAGCUCAAUCGGUAGAGUAGGCGGCUGUUAACCGCUUGGUUGCAGGUUCGAAUCCUGCCCGGGGAGCCA